rnacentral:rRNA from 2 species
UGGGGAAUUUUACGCAAUGGGGGAAACCCUGACGUAGCGACACCGCGUGAGCGAAGAAGCCCUUUGGGGUGUAAAGCUCUGUCAGCUGGAACGAAAACAAUGACGGUACCAGCAGAGGAAGCAUCGGCUAACUACGUGCCAGCAGCCGCGGUAAGACGUAGGAUGCGAGCGUUGUCCGGAUUUAUUGGGCGUAAAGAGUUCGUAGGUGGUUUGUUAAGUUUGGUGUUAAAGAUCGGGGCUCAACCCUGGGACUGCACUGAAUACUGGCAGACUCGAGUGUGGUAGAGGCUAGUGGAAUUCCCAGUGUAGCGGUGAAAUGCGUAGAUAUUGGGAAGAACACCGGUGGCGUAGGCGACUAGCUGGGCCAUAACUGACGCUGAGGAACGAAAGCCAGGGGAGCGAAUGGG